ACACGGGGGGCGCAAGCGUUAUUCGGAAUCAUUGGGCGUAAAGGGCACGCAGGCGGUUCUGUCAGUCAGAUGUGAAAGCCCGGGGCUUAACCCCGGACGUGCAUUUGAAACAGCAGGACUUGAGUAUGGUAGAGGAAAGCGGAAUUCCUGGUGUAGAGGUGAAAUUCGUAGAUAUCAGGAGGAACACCGGUGGCGAAGGCGGCUUUCUGGACCAAAACUGACGCUGAGGUGCGAAGGCGUGGGUAGCGAACAGGAUUAGAAACCCCAGUAGUCC
rnacentral:rRNA from 1 species